AAUUGCGAAGGCAGGCUACUAAUAAUUGAUUGACACUGAUGGACGAAAGCGUGGGGAGCGAACAGGAUUAGAUACCCUGGUAGUCCACGCCGUAAACGAUGGUUACUAGCUGUCCGGCUCGAUUGAGAGCUGGGUGGCCAAGCGAAAGUGAUAAGUAACCCACCUGGGGAGUACGUUCGCAAGAAUGAAACUCAAAGGAAUUGACGGGGGCCCGCACAAGCGGUGGAGCAUGUGGUUUAAUUCGAUGGUACGCGAGGAACCUUACCAGGGCUUAAAUGUAGUCUGACAGAUUUGGAAACAGAUUUUUCUUCGGACAGAUUACAAGGUGCUGCAUGGUUGUCGUCAGCUCGUGCCGUGAGGUGUCAGGUUAAGUCCUAUAACGAGCGCAACCCCUGUUGUUAGUUGCCAUCGAGUAAUGUCGGGAACUCUAACAAGACUGCCAGUGCAAACUGUGAGGAAGGUGGGGAUGACGUCAAAUCAUCACGGCCCUUACGUCCUGGGCCACACACGUGCUACAAUGGUAGGUACAGAGAGCAGCCACGUCGCAAGGCGGAGCGAAUCUAUAAAACCUAUCACAGUUCGGAUCGGGGUCUGCAACUCGACCCCGUGAAGCUGGAAUCGCUAGUAAUCGCAUAUCAGCCAUGAUGCGGUGAAUACGUUCCCGGGCCUUGUACACACCGCCCGUCAAGCCAUGGAAGCUGGGGGUACCUGAAGUCCGUCACCGCAAGGAGCGGCCUAGGGUAAAACCGGUAACGUGGGGCUAAGUUUCGUAACCAAGGUAAC
rnacentral:rRNA from 1 species